AACGAACGCUGGCGGCAGGCCUAACACAUGCAAGUCGAACGCCCUAGCAAUAGGGAGUGGCAGACGGGUGAGUAACACGUGGGAACCUUCCCUAUAGUACGGAAUAGCCCAGGGAAACUUGGAGUAAUACCGUAUACGCCCGAAAGGGGAAAGAUUUAUCGCGAUAGGAUGGGCCCGCGGCGGAUUAGCUAGUUGGUGAGGUAAUGGCUCACCAAGGCAACGAUCCGUAGCUGGUUUGAGAGAAAGACCAGCCACCCUGGGACUGAGACACGGCCCAGACUCCUACGGGAGGCAGCAGUGGGGCAUCUUGGAAGAUGGGCGCAAUCCUGAUCCAGCCAUGCCGCGAGAGGUAUGAAGGCCCUAGGGUUGUAAAGCUCUUUUGUCGGGUGCGAUAAUGACGGUACCCGAAGAAUAAGCUCCGGCUAACUUCGUGCCAGCCGCCGCUGUAA
rnacentral:rRNA from 1 species